rnacentral:rRNA from 1 species
GGGGGGGUGCCCUAUAAUGCAAGUCGAGCGCAGGAAGCAAGCUGAUCCCCUUCGGGGGUGACGCUUGUGGAAUGAGCGGCGGACGGGUGAGUAACACGUGGGCAACCUGCCUGUAAGACUGGGAUAACCCCGGGAAACCGGGGCUAAUACCGGAUAAUACUUUCUUUUGCAUAAAGGAAAGUUGAAAGGCGGCUUCGGCUGUCACUUACAGAUGGGCCCGCGGCGCAUUAGCUAGUUGGUGAGGUAACGGCUCACCAAGGCGACGAUGCGUAGCCGACCUGAGAGGGUGAUCGGCCACACUGGGACUGAGACACGGCCCAGACUCCUACGGGAGGCAGCAGUAGGGAAUCUUCCGCAAUGGACGAAAGUCUGACGGAGCAACGCCGCGUGAGUGAUGAAGGUUUUCGGAUCGUAAAACUCUGUUGUUAGGGAAGAACAAGUUGGGUAGUAACUGACCCAACCUUGACGGUACCUAACCAGAAAGCCACGGCUAACUACGUGCCAGCAGCCGCGGUAAUACGUAGGUGGCAAGCGUUGUCCGGAAUUAUUGGGCGUAAAGCGCUCGCAGGCGGUCCUUUAAGUCUGAUGUGAAAUCUCGCGGCUCAACCGCGAACGGUCAUUGGAAACUGGAGGACUUGAGUACAGAAGAGGAGAGUGGAAUUCCACGUGUAGCGGUGAAAUGCGUAGAGAUGUGGAGGAACACCAGUGGCGAAGGCGACUCUCUGGUCUGUAACUGACGCUGAGGAGCGAAAGCGUGGGGAGCGAACAGGAUUAGAUACCCUGGUAGUCCACGCCGUAAA